rnacentral:lncRNA from 1 species
GAACUGCGUUAAGGGUGGGAGCGUUAGGAAGACUGAGAACCAUCACCUUACAGGAGCACCCAGCACAGACAUAGGAGUGCAAGCCAGCAGCAGCCGACUGCACAAGACCUUCUGAGUGCAACAUUUUCCCUGUGGCUUUUGUUUUAUUCUGAAACUGAGGGUUGAUAUAUAGCACAGGCCAGCCUGGAGCUUAGUCUUCCUUCUUGUUUGGCCUCCUCAUGGUGGGAUUACAUGAGCAUACUGCCACGCUUGGCUUCUCUGUUAGCUGCUUUAGAGUCAAAACUACAUUGAUUUGUGUAUUUACCCAAAGAAAGACUAUAGUGUAGUCAGCCGGCCAUGGAAGCUUGUAUUUAAUCCUGUUGAUCCAGAGGCUGAAGCUAGAAGACUGAGAGUUAGAGCCCAGCCUGAGAUACAGGGUGGAAGAGAUACACCACAGCAAGUAUUCUUACUAUCUUCAUUUAGUUGUCAAUAUUAUCUAUACUUAGAAAUAUUUUUAAUAUCAGUUCUUCAAAUCAAAGAAAAAUAGAUGACUUUGCUUUCUUUGGCUUAGUUUUUUUUGGGGGGGUUGAUUUUUUUAAUUUGUUUUUUAUUGUUAUUGUUGUUUUGUUUGCUUUUGGCAAGCUCUCGAUCUAACAAUCUUCCUGCCCCAGCCUCUGGAGUACUCAGAUUACAGGUGCAUGGACACUGCUGGAAUCCUCUCUGUGUGACCUGACUCCAUUGUCAGUAGAUAGUCCUAUUUGUUUGAGGAUGUGAUUUCACACCUAUAGGAUUGUUCAUUAUUAUUUAAAAUUCUCUUCUACAGUAAUCAAAACAAAUUCAUCUGUAUUUCUUAGAAACAUAUUUCACCUUACAUGUUUAGAUAAAAAGAAUUUGUUCCUCGUUUAAAGUGAUCUCAGUUUCUCAAAGAUUGUGAAUAUAUUUUAUUAAAAAACAAGAACCAUUAAAUACUAGGUUGUUAAAAAAACAAGAACUGUUAGGCAGUAGAUUGUCAGUGUGACAGAAGCAGGCAGCAGUCACAGACUGGCUGCUAGCUGUCCAUUUUCUCUUCCAUUUUGCUCCCCCUAGCGUCGAUUCAGAAUCAAACAUAUUUACCAUCGCACCAGUCUUUUGAUGCCAUUGAUGCCUCUUGAUUGGACCUCAACAUGUGAAUAAACAGCUAACUUAGAGCCUUCCAUCCUUUUGAAAAUUCCCCCAUUAUUUUAGUCCAUACAUAAACUUCUUUGGAUUUUCUGUCAGAAAUCAGUCUAAGGUUCAGACUAUCCUAUUCUACCAAAAAGAAAGAAGAGAGUAUGGCAGUCCCUAUCUACCCACAUGUCUAGCAAGGCCUCAAGAGCUGGACAGGUGAUCAGGAGAUAAAGCCUGUCCCAAAGUCCUAUAGUCAAGAGGUGGCUUGAGAGCAAAAGCUGGCCUUUUGGAUUUUGUUUGGGUUUGGGUUUUUUUUUUGGGGGGUGGGGGUCACUCGCUGUAGCUUGACAUCACAUGUACUAAACACUGCUAAUUAUAAAAGCCUGCUGCCUUCUCUUUGUGUUCACCUUCAUAUGAGAGCCAAUAGGAGGUGUAGCUUCCUUCUGUGAUGCUGUGCCUGUCUGGAGGCAACAAUGAAAAUGCCAUGGGCCUCUAAAAGAAUGUUAUUGUAUAGGAAAUGGAGAGCCACCACAGCGGAUGAGCAGAGAGCCAGCAUAAAACUGCAUGGAAACAGAGCUCAGCAGGGCCCAGGCCCGGGUGACAGGGUUCAGCGGUGCGUAGGCCCUCGACAUUUGGGAGCAGAGUCCCUUUCCCUGCCCCUUAAAGUUUGUAAACGAAACUCAGAGAAAUCGCUGUCCAUCUGCUGCUUAGGACCCCACAAAUACUGAGGAAUCCCCCACUGUUGGAAAGCUUUCCUCCCCAGGAUGUGUAGUACCACUGGGGAACCAGUCCCCAGUGUUUCCAGAGAUCACUGUGCAGGGAUCGAGGAACACUAACAGCAAUAUUUGUUUUCCUUUCUUUUCCCUUAAAAAAAAUGACAUCUUAAUC